UACGAAGGGGGCUAGCGUUGUUCGGAAUUACUGGGCGUAAAGCGCACGUAGGCGGAUAUUUAAGUCAGGGGUGAAAUCCCGGGGCUCAACCCCGGAACUGCCUUUGAUACUGGGCAUCUUGAGUAUGGGAGAGGUGAGUGGAACUCCGAGUGUAGAGGUGAAAUUCGUAGAUAUUCGGAAGAACACCAGUGGCGAAGGCGACUCACUGGCCCAUUACUGACGCUGAGGCGCGAAAGCGUGGGGAGCAAACAGG
rnacentral:rRNA from 1 species